CUGCCUAGUCUUUGAUGCCAGGAAACUAAUGAAAUAAGUUUGGGAGGCGAUUCAGAGUCAGUGAAAGCAGGCCUAAUAUGACAGUUGAAGCUUGUACUGCCUGAUGCUUUCUAGCUCAAAAGGCAGCAAGGCUGAAGUCCUCACAGCAAUAGUAUUUAGAAAACUGCUUUUGUUUGUUUUAAGAUUCUUGAAGCAGAGAGACUUGUAGCUAUUCAACAUUUUCUUUGUCAACUAAUCAUUCUGCUAGAGCGAUCCACUGCUAGCUCUCACAUCUUCCAUGAAAGAACAUGACAAAGGUUAAGCAAAGAAAAAAAAACAGUGCCAGACAUCUGUGUACAAGGACAAACCACCUAUUUCCGAGCAUUGCCAACGAUUGAUUCACAUUCCUCUUUUCAUUUAUGUAUGGGAUUCCU